AGCAGCUGCGGUAAUUCCAGCUCCAAUAGCGUAUAUUAAAGUUGUUGCAGUUAAAAAGCUCAUAGUUGAAUUUCAGGAUCAGUACGCUGGUCGUGCCUUUGGUAUGUACUGGUGUCACUGAUUCCUCUCUUCUGAAGAACCGUUAUGCCAUUUAUUUGGUGUGAUGGGGAAUCAGGACUGUUACUUUGAAAAAAUUAGAGUGUUUAAAGCAGGCUCGUGCUUGAAUACAUUAGCAUGGAAUAAUGAAAUAGGACAUUUGACCUUAUUUUGUUGGUUUCUGGGAUCGAUGUAAUAAUUAAUAGGGAUAGUUGGGGGCAUUAGUAUUCAAUUGUUAGAGGUGAAAUUCUUGGAUUUAUUGAAGACUAACUACUGCGAAAGCAUUUGCCAAGGAUGUUUUCAUUAAUUAAGAACGAAAGUUAGGGGAUCGAAGACGAUCAGAUACCGUCGUAGUCUUAACCAUAAACUAUGCCGACUAGGGAUCGGACGAAGUUAAUUUUUAAUGUACUCGUUCGG
rnacentral:rRNA from 1 species